ACUGAUUAUCUCUACUGUCAUAGGCAAGUGGCAUGAGGCUCUUUAGAGGCUGCUGCAGGAUGAGUACAAGUUUACAAUAUGUAGGGAGGAAAGAGGUGCCACUGGGAAUGGGUGCAGAUUUUUCCCAACUCUGAAUAAGCUAGCUAGAAGCAAAAGUGUCUGCUGUUCACCUUAGUUGUGCACUUUGUGCCUACAAUAUUUUCCUACGCACUCGGGUGCCAAUUUAUCGACACAUAUCAUAUUUGCACCA